GCAGUCGAACGGUAACAGGAAUUAGCUUGCUAAUUUGCUGACGAGUGGCGCACGGGUGCGUAACGCGUAUACAAUCUACCUUUUACAGAGAGAUAGCCCAGAGAAAUUUGGAUUAAUACCUCAUAGUAUUAUUUGAUGGCAUCAUUAGAUAAUUAAAGUUUCGGCGGUAAAAGAUGAGUAUGCGUUCUAUUAGCUAGAUGGUGUGGUAACGGCACACCAUGGCAACGAUAGAUAGGGGCCCUGAGAGGGGGAUCCCCCACACUGGUACUGAGACACGGACCAGACUCCUACGGGAGGCAGCAGUGAGGAAUAUUGGACAAUGGAGGCAACUCUGAUCCAGCCAUGCCGCGUGCAGGAAGACUGCCCUAUGGGUUGUAAACUGCUUUUAUACAGGAAGAAACACUCCCUCGUGAGGGAGCUUGACGGUACUGUAAGAAUAAGGAUCGGCUAACUCCGUGCCAGCAGCCGCGGUAAUACGGAGGAUCCAAGCGUUAUCCGGAAUCAUUGGGUUUAAAGGGUCCGUAGGUGGAUAAUUAAGUCAGAGGUGAAAUCCUGCAGCUCAACUGUAGAAUUGCCUUUGAUACUGGUUAUCUUGAGUU
rnacentral:rRNA from 1 species